AACUAUGUUUGUUAUUGGUAUGAGCUUUUGUGUGCAUGCACACUUCUUCAGAUACAUAUCUGAAGAAGUGUGCAUGCACACAAAAGCUCAUACCAGUGACAUACCACAAGAA
rnacentral:miRNA from 1 species